AAGCCCUGGAAACGGGGUCUAAUACCGGAUAUGACAUGCUCCCGCAUGGGAUGUGUGUGGAAAGCUCCGGCGGUGCAGGAUGAGCCCGCGGCCUAUCAGCUUGUUGGUGAGGUAGUGGCUCACCAAGGCGACGACGGGUAGCCGGCCUGAGAGGGCGACCGGCCACACUGGGACUGAGACACGGCCCAGACUCCUACGGGAGGCAGCAGUGGGGAAUAUUGCACAAUGGGCGGAAGCCUGAUGCUAGCGACGCCGCGUGAGGGAUGACGGCCUUCGGGUUGUAAACCUCUUUCAGCAGGGAAGAAGCGAGAGUGACGGUACCUGCAGAAGAAGCGCCGGCUAACUACGUGCCAGCAGCCGCGGUAAUACG
rnacentral:rRNA from 1 species